AGAAACCGUCAAGCUUGCCAUCGACAGCGGUGAGCAGAUCGUCGACACCUUUGAGGACAUUAACCUCAAAUGGCUCUACGUGGUCCAAACAUUCCCGACCGGCCAGGUAACACGUCGCUUCGAGCUAACCUUCCACAAGAAACACAAAGACAAAGUCCUGACCUCCUACUUGCGCCAUGUGGUCACUCGGGCUGAAGCCAUUAAAAAAGAGGAAAAGAUUCUCAAACUUCGUAGCGUUAACUCACCAUCACGAGUGGAUCUGGAGCACCCAGCCACGUUCGAGACGAUCGCCAUGGAGCCCGACCAGAAGACAAAGAUUAUCAAGGACUUGGACAGAUUUGUGAGAAGGAGGGAGUUUUAUAAGAAGGUGGGGAAGGCCUGGAAAAGAGGCUACUUGUUGUAUGGCCCUCCUGGCACUGGCAAGUCGAGCUUGAUUGCAGCCAUGGCUAAUCAUCUCAAGUUUGACGUGUAUGAAUUGGAGCUCGACGGUAUUUGCAGUGACUCUCAGUUGAAGAGAGUGUUGCUAUCCACUAAAAAUCGUUCUAUUUUGGUGAUUGAGGAUAUUGAUUGCACCGUCCGUGACAUGCAAGACCGGAAAUCGGAGCAGCCCACGGUUAGUACAUACUCUUUUUUUAUAUGUAGAUUUUUUUGGGGCAUUCACAUAGUGUUCUGUUGAUAUUUGCAGUUCACACUCUCAGGCCUGCUAAACUUCAUGGAUGGUCUGUGGUCAAGCUGCGGUGACGAGAGAAUUAUUGUGUUCACAACAAAUCACAAGGAUCGGCUUGAGCCUGCACUGUUGCGUCCUGGUCGAAUGGACGUCCACAUUCACAUGUCGUAUUGCACUCCACAUGCGUUUAGGGUCUUGGCCUCCAACUACCUUGGCAUUCAAGACUUGAAUCAUCAUGGCCUUUACGGAGAAAUCACAGGCUUGCUAGAGAGCACAGAGGUCACCCCUGCUGAGGUCUGUGAGCAACUGUUGAAGAGAGAUGAUGAUGUUGACGACGAUGAUGCUGAUGCUGCUCUUGCUGGACUUGUCAACUUUCUCAAACUCAAGAAGCUUGAAGAGACUAAUAAUAUUGAUAAACCAGAAACUCAAGAAGGAUCUCAAUGUUAAUGAUGAUGACGGUGACAACUCCUCCACCUAGCAUGAGCUAGGGCAGUAGAAUAAGUUGGUGUCAUUUGUCCCAUCUGAUUAUGAAGUAAUGUAUGGUUAUAUUCAGACUCUUCCCUUUUUUUUCUUUCUUAAUUAUAGCGUACCUACCAAAGUAGAGAAAUUAUGUGGAAAAAGACCUGCAAACAGAGACCUUGACUUUUGGUCAACAAGGAAGGCAAAGAGAAGCGACCACCAGCAUUUGAUGGAAAUUUCUGUUCUUAUACGACUUCUAACAAGUCUCGUUGACUUAGGGUCCCUUUUUGGGGUUGACACGUAAUUGUGACCAUAAGGAAAAUUCUACCAUGUUGCAUUUUCUGAAACGAAAUCCAUACCAAAUGAUCUUUCUGAACCUCUUAACUAUACCUCUGCAGAAGUCUUGGCAAUCUUGCUCUGAUCAAACAUGAUCCAAUGGUGUGCAGAGAAAAUUACAAAAGUGACAAACGUAAUAAGUUUCACUUCCCCCUGGCUCAAUUCUACUUUUUUCUUACAUCCUUAAUCAACCAAUGCAAAUAUAUUCCAUUCCUUAUCAGUUGUCCCAUUAAUAUAUUUAUGAAAUACCAUAUCAGUUUGCAAACAUUUUUAGAUUUGGUUGAGCUUGAGACAUGGUUGUUCAAGGGAAUAAGGGGAUUGAGAAUUGUUGAUUUUCAAGUAGGAGUUGGAGACGGUGUUGUUCAACCUCACAACUUAAUAAGCAUAUAUACUUCCACAAUCAACGCCACCUCACUCGAUCAACACUUGAUUUCGUUGAAUUAAACUAAUUUCUCUUGUAUUAAGAUACCAAGUUGACAACUCCUAAAUUAUCUUCUAAGUUUAUUGCCCUGCUAGCACUUGGUAUCGAUUCGAAGUUGCUAGGCUAGUUUAUUUUCCUAAAAUCGGUUCAUCAGUCUGUCAAUUCCUCACUUACUUUCUAUGUAAGUUAUUGUUUAUAAUUAAUUGAAUCGAGAAAUCUUCUGUUUAUUUGUGAAUUUUUAUUUUUAGAAAAAUUCCAUGUAUGAGGUUAAGUGCAUCUCUUAAUUAGAACAUCUAUAGUGGGGUGAUGUAUAAUAGGAUGUAUGUUAAAUAUACACCCGUUAUGAUCGGAAUUACUCGUAAUAAGGGUGUAAAUAAAUGUAUAAUUACAUCACCACCAUGAGAUGUAAAUUUAGAUGCAAUUGUACAUAUUUUUUUACAUUCCCAUUGCGGAUGGAACCCAACUGAAAAAAAAAGAGGAAAAAUAGAGAAAAGUCAGAAUAAAAAGGUGGGACCCAGCUAACAACAAUGGUGCAUGCAACGGUAUGGCUCGAUUUUGUCCUCAUCCCAUUUCUUCCUUUUUUUAAUUCAACUUGUUUCCACGGUCUCUCCCAUCUCUCUACUUUUGAUAUUUAUUUAUAAUUUCAUAUAUAUAUAUAUAUAUAUAAUUAAAUUAAUAAUUUACUUACUUUCCAACCUUAAGACGGAGACUCGGUAUAGAGAAAUUAUUGUAUGAUAUCGUAUCAUCACUUCAAUUGAUGAUACUUCCGUUUAUCUUUCAUAGAAGAUUAUAACCUUUUUUUUAAAGCAUAAUUAAAAACAUCAAUUUCACCUUUUUGAAUAAACUUUUUUAAAAAGCUUUAAUUGUUUUAGAAAAUGACAUAUUGCACAUUUUUAGAUUAAAUGUACUUUACAAUCCAACGAUUCUUUUUUAAUGAAAUUAUAUUUUCUCCAAAUUCAAAUAUUUUUAGGUCUAUUUGUUUGAAAAAAUAAAAUUAACCUAAUACAAAAAAAAAAUUAAUUUUAUAAAGUAAACACAAAAUAUAAAUUUAACACAAAAACAAAUUAAGACAAACAAAUCAAUUAUACAUCUUUAGAUUUACUUCGUUUUUUAUUGGAGAAAAAAACGUAUUUACACUUCCCGAAUGUGUAAAGGAGAUAUAAAAGUGUCUUUACACCCCCGAAAAUACACCUCCUACUGUAGAAGCUCUUAGGUAUUUGAUAAUUUUUUGAUUUUGUGUUAUGUUGACAUUUGCAGUUCACACUCUCGGGCCUACUAAACUUCAUGGAUGGUCUGUGGUCAAGUUGCGGUGAUGAAAGAAUUAUUGUGUUCACAACAAACCACAAGGAUGACGAUGAUGAUGCUGCUCUUGUAAGAGUUGUCAAGGUCACCCCUGCUGAGAUUUGUGAGGAAGUACUGAAGAAAAAUGACGAGGACGAGGACGACGAUGAUGAUGCUGCUCUCGAAAGAGUUGUCGACCUUCUCAAACUUGAGAAGCUUGAAGGGACUAAUAAUAUUGAAAAGACAGAAAUGCAAGCAGAAAAAAGGCAGGAAAAUGGAUCUCAGGUGAAUGAUGAAAGUGACAACUCAUGCAUCCAACAUGAGCUAUAGCGAUCCCCUUUUAGAUAAGUCUUUUUGUUAUUAGUACUUUUGUAGGAAAAGAAAUCUGGAUGUCAAGUACUCUAAUCCCAGUUUUGUUUGGUGUCCUGUCAGGUGUUGUCCUAUUAUCCUAUCUGAUUAUGAUGUAAUCACUUUGGUUAUAUCGAUAAAUAAAGUAAGUAAUGGUAUGGUUAGUUCAAAUUCUAUUCAAACUCUAAUAUUAUUUUCUUUCACGAAUGUGCGCUAGCAACAUAUAUACAUAAGGUGGUGUGGUGUUUUUGUUGUUAAGAGGUAGAAAGAAAAUUUACUCGCACACACACAAGUGCCUAGAAAUUUCGAAUAUGAGAUGAUUGGUCUUAAGUCAAACAUACUUUUUCACUACGGUAUGAUCCUAUUAGCUUCAUACUCUCUUGUUUCACUCUAGAGUGCAAGUGGCUACUUUUGAAAUGAAAUAAUUAACAACAGUUACUUUCUUAAUUAUAUCAUAGUUUACUUACCAAAGUGGAGAAGAUUUAUAUUUUUUGUUGUACUUCUUCAUAGGUUUUGAAUUUUGAUGCAACCAGAAGCUUUUUGUGUGUGUUGUUGCAUGUGAAUGGCGGGAAAAGAAUGGCAACUGUGUGAAAUUGAUCAAGUUAAGAUCAAUCCGGUAUGAUUGAAAACAUCAAAGCCAUCAAAUUAGUCAUGGUCUGCUCUAGGUUUCUUUAUUCAUUUUGGCCUCAAAUAUUAAAUACAUGUGUUUAAAAAGCAAUAACAAUCUAAUCAAAUAACUCACCCAACCCAACUCCUACGUUCAACGUAUAGUCCUAACACAAUCAAAUGUUUUAUUGAAUAUUUAUCCAGAGACUUACCUAUAAACUAGGUCACCUAGCACACUAAAAAAAAAAACCACGUACAGUAAAAAAAAGAUAUCUAGCAUAAGGAGAAAUUCGACCAAAACAAAAAAAAAUAGCAUAAGGAGAAAAAAGAGGGACUAUUGUCAACUAAACGACAAUAACCUACACAAAACACAAUGCACGCGGUUUUGACUGGUGGUGUACAAGUAGACUUCUUUGUCGAUCUUGCCAUGUGCAAUUGUCUGUGGCUGUGGUUUCACUAGUACUGUAUAUGAAUUUACCCCCCAAGUAACAAACCUCAAAUAUAUAUCCCCAAAUUUGAUUAAAAAAUCCCCCAACAAGAACAUCUCCUUCUUCUUCUUCUUCUUCUUCUUCUUCUUCUCAACCUCUGCCUUGCUUACCUUGCAUCCAUCCAUCCGCCAUGAAUUUCAUCGUGGAGGAACUCAUGCUUUUCAUUUCCACUGCCCUCAAUUACCUUGCUACCCUUUUCUCCCCUGGCCAUUAUCAUCAUGACCUCACUUUCAUCAUCCGCCAGAAGAGCACGCCACCCAACCAAGUCUACGACGCCGCCGAGCUCUACCUCCCAUCCAUCGAGUUGAUCAAUCCCUCCACUCGUACUAUCGGCGUCAGCAAAACACCGCGGCAAGAAGCCGUCAAGCUUGCCAUGGAAAGCGGUGAGCAGAUCGCCGACACCUUUGAGGACAUUAACCUCAACUGGCUCUACGUGGUCCAAACAUUCCCGAGCGGCCAGGUAACACGUCGCUUCGAGCUAACCUUCCACAAGAAACACAAAGACAAAGUCCUGACCUCCUACUUGCGCCAUGUGGUUACUCGGGCUGAAGCCAUUAAAAAAGAGGAAAAGAUUCUCAAACUUCGUAGCGUUAACUCACCAUCACGAGUGGAUCUGGAGCACCCAGCCACGUUCGAGACGAUCGCCAUGGGGCCCGACCAGAAGACAAAGAUUAUAAAGGACUUGGACAGGUUUGUGAGGAGGAGGGAGUUUUAUAAGAAGGUGGGCAAGGCUUGGAAAAGAGGCUACUUAUUGUAUGGCCCUC
rnacentral:lncRNA from 1 species